rnacentral:rRNA from 1 species
UACGGGGGGGAGCAAGCGUUGUUCGGAUUUACUGGGCGUAAAGGGCGCGUAGGCGGCCACGACAAGUCACUUGUGAAAUCUCCGGGCUUAACCCGGAAAGGUCAAUCGAUACUGCAGGGCUAGAGUGCAGAAGGGGCAACUGGAAUUCCUGGUGUAGCGGUGAAAUGCGCAGAUAUCAGGAGGAACACCAAUGGCGAAGGCAGCACUCUGGGACGUGACUGACGCUGAGACGCGAAAGCGUGGGGGAGCAAACAGG